UACGUAGGGGGCAAGCGUUGUCCGGAUUUAUUGGGCGUAAAAGGCUUGUAGGUGGCCACGCCAAGUCGGAUGUGAAAUCUCCCGGCUCAACUGGGAGGGGUCAUUCGAUACUGGCGGGCUCGAGGCCGGUAGGGGGAAGUGGAAUUCCCGGUGUAGUGGUGAAAUGCGUAGAGAUCGGGAGGAACACCAGUGGCGAAGGCGGCCCCCUGGGCCACGCCUGACGCUGAGACGCGAAAGCGUGGGGAGCAAACAGG
rnacentral:rRNA from 1 species